GGUUCUAUGGUGUAGUGGUUAGCACUCUGGACUUUGAAUCCAGCGACCUGGGUUUUACUCCCGGUAGGACCU
rnacentral:tRNA from 1 species